GUAGGGAAUAUUGGGCAAUGGAUGCAAGUCUGACCCAGCCAUCCCGCGUGCCGGAAGAAGGCCCUCAGGGUUGUAAACGGCUUUUGACGGUGAAGAAUCGACAGGAUGCGUCCUGUUUUGACGGUAGUCGUUGAAUAAGCACCGGCUAACUCCGUGCCAGCAGCCGCGGUAAUACGGAGGGUGCGAGCGUUGUCCGGAUUUAUUGGGUUUAAAGGGUGCGUAGGCUGGAAGGUCAGUCAGCGGUGAAAAGCUGUCGCUUAACGAUAGUCUUGCCGCAGAUACUUCCUUUCUUGGAUGAGGAGGAGGCCACUGGAACGGAUGGUGUAGCGGUGAAAUGCAUAGAUAUCAUCCAGAACACCGAUUGCGAAGGCAGGUGGCUGUACCUUAAUCGACGCUGAUGCACGAAAGCAUGGGGAGCAAACAGGAUUAGAAACCCCAGUAGUCC
rnacentral:rRNA from 1 species